rnacentral:tRNA from 1 species
AAGAGGUUAGUUAAAAAAUAACAUUAGAAUGUCAAUCUAAAAUCACUACUUAACCAGGGUACCCCUUG